GACCUUGAAGUUACCUUAACCAGUCUGUCUGUGUUGUUUCUGGCAGCCUGCAGCAAAACCAGUUAUAUUGCCCUCCUAAUUUGCAAGCUGGGCCCUCCUAGGACUUGUUUUGAGGCCAGGUUGCCUUAGCCCAUGGGUAGUAGAGAGAAAGCAGAGCUGGGGAGGAGUGGCGAGGAGUGGGAAUGGUGGGAUGGUUGUGGGUUGGUUUUUGUGCCCUGAGCCUGUGGUUGCUCCAGACAUCGUGGUUCAGAGGAUCCCAGGGUUGGAGGACUGGUUGUGGUGGGAAGAUCUCUGAUCUGUGAUUGAGCUACCGUCCCAGGAUUGUGGUGGGACCACUGGGAAAUGGCAGCUUGGGUAACCUCAGUGUUAAUCCCACUGGUCUUCUGGUUAUUGGGUGGGUCUUAGAGCACAGCUGGAGUGGUGCAACUUUUUCUCUUUAACUGAAGAGCAUCCUUCCCCUGGACAGUCUAUUGUUUUGUUUUCCAACUGCAAUUCAGCUGGAGUUGUGUAGGAAAAGGGGCAAAGCAUAAUUCUCAAAACGGUAUCACGAAAUAAAAGAUAUGUAAAACUAGCGUAACGAAACCGGUGAAGUUGUAAAGAAUUUAGGCUGCGGCAAACAUCAGUUUCUUGACUGCGAUGCAUAGUCAUUUGUCUUUUUGUUUACACAACAAAAUAGCCUGAAGAGAGUUAAUAUGUUUGGAAAACGGCACUCGCAUGUAUUUCUAAUAGGAGAGGAAACUCAACAAAUGGAUGUGACUCAACAAAUUGAGUAUACAGAACAGAUCACAGCUCUGAUUAGGCCAUUUACAGAUUGGUUUGAAGAGCGCUGGCCUCUGGCCAGUGAGCUACUUCUUACUCGCAAGGAACCCAGACGAACAGCGCGGACACUGAGCUAAUGCUGCACUGUGCUUUGUCUAAAGCGAUGAUGGCCUUGUACUUAGUGCAUACACUUGCUGCUGGCUGCUUAGCAUAAUGGAGCGUCCUGCACCACAUGCGGCUGUGGCCACGCUGCAGAGACUUCACCACAACAUAACUGCAGACCUCUCCCACUAAGGCCUCGUAAACGGCACAGAUUAAAAAUAAUAUGGGUAACAUAAAAUGGAGUCGAAAAGAAUACGGAUGGCUUAAUAUGAAAGCCAUGAAUACUGCUGCAUAAAAUGCCUGAGCUAUUAGUUCACUUACAACCGGUGUACCUGUGCACAAAUCUGUGUGCUGGUUUUGCGUACUGUAAUAUAAAUGGUCUUUGUUCUUACCUUUAUAUAAUAACACCCCACCUAAUAUAUAGACACCCUUGUAUGUUUUAUGCAUUCAUCUAAUUUAGUUGUUAAAUAUUGCUCCAGAACCCACACAUACACCAAAAGAACUGUAUAUUGUCAAACUGGUUUGAAACCUAUAAAGAAGUGCUUGGGAAGGAACGGUUGAAAGCUGAAGAAUUAAAGAGCAUUCCUUUAAUUUGGUGGCCUCAUAACAUGCUGCUGAGUAGGAGGAGAAAAGAAUGAGUCUGGUGGCUGGAUUGGGUCUGCGUUUCCUGUGUUGAAAUGAGAUGGGUGGAACAGGAUGGUCAUGGUGUCCCCAGCCCUGGAAGGAAGAAACAUCCAUUUGGUCUCAAUGUGGAGCAACUCUCAGGGUUUAACUCUGGGACAAAGUUAUUAGAUUCUCUACCCAGGCUGAUUUUUCUUCCUUUCAAGUAAUUGCUAGUGCUCCUUUCCCUUAAGUAUUAAUCUCUUACUCUGAGGAAACCACUUCUUGUCCUGCAGUACAUCCAUGUGGUCUUGACUGGGAGCCCUGGGAGCCCUCCCGGGUCUGCGUCAUGGAGGUGAGGCUGUGUCUGGGAUCCCCCGGGCAACCCAGCUGUGACUUAUGGAGGAAUCUCAACAAGGCCAAAACACUUGGGUUGUUAGAAACCCCAGAGAUAUUAAUGAAUUUCAGCAUUGGACUGAUGUUUUUUUAAUCAUUAUUCUUUUUUCUUGGUGUCUACUGUUGUAUGAGGGCAAGAAUCUGCAGAAAAACAAAGGCCCAACCCCAAGGAGCCUGUAAACAAAGCUAAACAGUUAACACAUGAGCCCGUCCUGAAUGAGAAAGGGAAGAUGUUUUUCAUUUUGUGAUGAGUUGCUAACUGGGAGUUAGUUUGCCAUCUGCCUGUGGGAAAGCCCUAGGAGCAGGCUUUGACGUGGGCCGUGGAGUUCCCUACUGCUCCCCCUCCAAACCAUUCUUCAGCGUGGAAAGCUGAUCCUCUGUGAAAGCACUGCGUGCUGGAAGUCUGCCACGUUUGUACUGGGGAUGUUUGAGGCAAGAUGCUCAGUCUGUGCACCCGAUGUCCCCCUCAGCACCGCAGCGACAGCCAGCGCUUCCCUGUCUUGUGGGGGGCUUGCAGGGGCAGUACUCAGUAUAUUCUAGGUGUUGGGGAUGCUGGAGUGGUGGGACAACUUGAUGAAAUCCCGAGUGGUAGGUAAAGUGGGUAUGAGGGAGUUCUUCCCCAGUGAGAAGUUUGUUUUUCUGUAUGGUAUGGGGAGGUUCAAAGUUACAAACUUGGUGGUUAUGUGUGGUUGUCACCACCCAUAGGUAGGUUUAUCUUCUGGCUGCAGUUGUACCCUGUUCCUCUCCUCUGCAUCCCCUCCCCAUCCAGCCAAUUCCCCAAAGAGGUUUUCCCAGAGGCUGCAGAAAAGUUACUCCGUGGCUUCGGUUCUCAGGUGCCCAUUGCAGAUAUGUUAAAUACAGAAAUUAAAAACAUCCUUCCUACUCUGUCCUCCCCCACGUUGUCUGGGGCACCCACCACGUGGCCUCCUGCUCGGUGCAGCCGAUGAUGCAAGGACAGAGAUUACUUCUGCUUGCAAGAAUUGCAUGGCAGUUCCAGCCAUGUAUUAUAAUUUUAUGCCGGUUGGCGCCAACUAAGUAAUCUCUGUGAUAGCCUUAGGAGCAGCUUUGCCAUGAGAUCUUAGAAAUGAUAUGUUGUCUCCCUGUGAAAGUGCUGAAUUAAACAAGUAGUUGCAAUUUUUUUCAUGACAGUGAUACUCCAUUCCCUGAACAAAAGUGGGGAAAUUUCUUGAAUCUGUGGAAAUUAGAUAUCUAGAGGAAUUCUGUGGUCAAACGGUGACUCUGCUCUUUUAAAAUACUCUGCCAUCUGUUAUUCUUGUUUCUUUGGGCGUGAGAAUUGUUCUAAAACUUCUGGUGUUAUGGUUCAGUACGUUCUGUAUCACGGAGGGGCAAGAAUCUGUAAGUCUUUUAUUAUCAACCCAGGAAUUUUGCUCUGUAGCUUUCCAAAGGUGAGUAGUUGCCCCUUGUUUUAUGGAGUGAAGGAGAUGAAGUUUAAGCCUGUCUUGUUGUUGACUUCAUCACUUUUAUGUCCUCCAGAUUAUCAAGUUCUCUUUAUUUUACGAUAUGAUGAUUUCUACCUGUAUUGAUAGACAAUUAUAUAUGCAACUGCUCUGUAUCACGUGAAACUAAAUAAGUGAGCGAUUCAUCCUUUUCUCCUUGUGAAGCUAAAAGCUGGGUCUCCUGCCUUCCCAGACUAAUUUGAAGUCUACAAGCUUGAGGCAUCAAAAUCUGCUGUGCUGUAUAUAUGAUUUGUUACAAGGAAAUGGAUUCUUUACCCAUUUAGCCAGCGAGGGCAAGACGGCCUCUCUCAAACCUGUAGCUUCCCUGGGGAUGUGGAAAGGCUGAGUCCUCCUGUACCUUUGGCUCUUCCGAGAGUAGUGGGUAUGUUCUUCCUUUUAAUGUAUAUUUAGAGCAAGUGCUGCUUUAAGAUCAAAAGGUUUACUCUGGAUUUAUACCAGGGCAGCUAAACAUGGAACUGUACAUAAUUCCCAAGCACAUUUGUCUUGCAAGAGCCACACCUGAUCUGCCUCCCAGCUCUUAUUUACAUAAGACAUCCUCGUUGUGUUGAGAACAUGUGGGGUGGGGUUGCUUGCUGUCAGGGUGGGCAGCCGUCGCUGCGCACAAGCCUCAGUCCUGCCUCCUCUGGAACUGUGGAUCCUAACUGCGUGCAGCCCUUCCUCACACACCAGCAACAUCUCUCUGCUGUGUCUGUGCAUUUCUGUGGUCUUAACACUAACCUAUUUUAUCCCUGAACACAAUAGGAUGAAAUCCUACAGAAGAAAGACAUAUCUCAAAUGUUUCCAGGAUGCGUACAUCAGCGAUGCAUGUGUAGUUUCUAGCACAGAGAGGAUUAGAAUAAAUGCAUUCUUUGUAGAUGCUGUUUUAAUCUUUCAAGCUAAACUUAGAUCUUGGACACCUGUCUCUGCUGCAGUCUGUCUCUUGAGCUCAUGAAUUUUGUGCACAGCUGUCAGUGCUGUAUGUGGGGUUCUCUCUUUUCAGCUGGCUCUAUUCCCAGUUGGCUGAAAAGUAGGAGCCUGUCUUAGAAAGAGAAUUUCCACUCCUGCAUACUUUGAUGGAAACAAGAAGAUAUAAAACAAGAUUUAAUGACCCUGUUUUUUUCAACCAUUUAUUAGCUGUUCUGUACAUACUCAGUCUCCAGGGAACUAAGUUACAUAUUAUGAUAAGUAUAGAGUGCCUGUUCCCUAUGGACUUAUGUUUCAUGAUUUAUGUGAAUAAAAUAAAGCAUGUAAACCAAAUAAAUUACCUUGGAUAGCUUACUUUGAAACAAGACUCCAGGAAGUGCCAGGAGGUGGCCAGAUGAAAUGCUGACCUGGAUCAGUGGUGCUAAAAUGAGGAUCCCAUCUCCUGCCCAUGCCAAGCCUUUUCUUUAACUCAGAGAUCGAAGAUUACAAAAGGAGGAAAAGGGAUGUUAAGGAGAAUGUCUACCUAUGUUGUCUUCAUUCCUUUGCGACUGAUUAGGAUAUAAAAAACAAGUUCAGGAACCAGACCCGCCACAUCUCUGACAAAAGCAGCCAAGGCUCGCACAGAGUAAAGCCUCCCUUUGCAAACAGACAUCCGCUGUCUUAUGGAUUAGAAGAGUGAGCAGAAGCGAAGAAGAGGAGAUGCAACCGCAUGGGGGAAGCACGUCAUCUCCAGCCACUCAUGGACAGGUGGUGAUCUCCGUGCUCACCUCCAUCUUUGUGACCGUGAAAGUGGCACUUGGCAGAAAAGGAAACUCAUUUCCUGCAGCUGCGGGACAAGGUGCUGUCAAUGCAGCCACCACUGCAGACGUCCAUCAUUUUAGAGGUACCAUCCAAUACUUUUUUCCUUACCUUUCUUCCUUCGACUCUGCUCCACGCUAGGGUCUAAUUGCUGAAUGAUCCUCCACCACGUACCACGUUCUCAAAUGACUUUGUGCCCCUAGUGUCUCUCACAGGAGAGUUCAAAGACAGUGGACUUUUGGAGAGUGUGCUGAACAGAAGCAGCUGAAGGCCCAAAUGCCACUUUGAAGCCCUUCCCAGUGCUUGGAUUCUGGUCUGGGAAUCUGACAGAUUUAUGUCCUUGUUUGAUUUUUCUCUGGUAUUUCCUAAACUUCACCAGCUUGGAAGUAACAUUCAAACAGUACUUCUUUCUAUGCUUAGUUAUUAGCACUUGACAACCCAAUCAAGGACUGAGGUAUAGCACAUAAAUUAAGAACAUGAUUUCACAUAAACAUAUUAUGAACAUAUUUUCAAUUUUCCAAAUAAUAACAUCAAGAAGAUCUUUUGACCUGGGGAAUAGGUUUGGUUCAGGAAAAGCCCAAUGAGCUUUUACUGCUUUACUACCAAAUAAGAAAGAGUUCAGUGAGACCACUCAAAGUACUCCAGCUAAAGAGCUUUGGUUGGUGCAAGAAAGUUGUUCUCCACCAGCCUUUAUAUACCACAUAUUUGCUAUCUGAAUCUCUUUAGGAACAACAGACUUUGCAAGCAAUUCAACCCUUUACAGUAAACCGUCAUCUUGGUUCUUGCAGAAGACCUAGAAACUCUACAUUUAAAAUUAUUAAUGGUUGUAGUCCUACAGAAUUGGAAAGACCUAUGCGGUAUGGAAUUUCUGAGACAUCACUCUGGGAAUCUCUUCAUGUGUGUAAAACCUUACUCGCUCUCCUCGGUCUCCUUUGGAGCCUUUUGGCCCGGGUUGUCCUGGAGAGCCCGGUAAGCCCUAGAAGAGAUGCAGAACAAGAAGGAAUUAAUUUCCACUGUGCCUCCUUUGUGUAGGUGAAGUGAAUACAAUUCCCAAUGAUCCUUAGCUCCUGAAAACCUCGUACACCCAUUAAGCAACUGGGAUGGAUUCUCUUCUACCUUCAAGGAACAACAAUGGAAACUCUGUUUGCAAACAUCCCGAGCCCUAUAGUUUCUGUGUAUUUGGGUCUUUUGGGGUCUUUUAAGACACUGCAGACUACUGCUCUAACAUUUUUAAGGGACCAGUAUGAGAGGAUAGUUCUUGUUCUCAGUUACCAAGAAUAAAUUAAUACACAGAUAGUAUGGUUAGCUUAAAAAUCCCCACUGCUUUCCCCCUCUUCAUAAUUGCCUCAGUGGGUGGCAUGAGUAAGCAUACAUACCUGAAAAUUAAUUGGAUUGUGCAGUGGAAAUUAUUUUGAAGCUAUUCACUCACCCUAAUAAACAAUUUUCAAAUUAAGCCCAAUCUCUACUAACAAUUUUGCUCCCUGGGUUGAAUAAAUCUAUAAACCAGUCACCAACGGAUAAGAAGGACGUAGUCUUCAGAUUUCUACUAAUUGAACAGCUUUGCAGAAAUCAAUCCAAAUUCCUAACUUAUCCACCCAGUGAAGCCACAGCUAUAAUAUAAACCAGAGACAGUGAGAGAACAAUAUUGUUUGUUUAUAUGUGCCAUGUCAGCUCCCCACGACCACGUGCAAGACGCUUUUUUCCACCUCAAGCGACUUGCACAUCGCCUUGGAGGCUGCAGCACAUGAGGCCACUGCUCCAACCUGCCCAGAAACCCCCACCUCUCAGCACCCAGAGACUUGGGCUUUCUAGGCACAGCUGUGAGGAGCCUCAACAUCUAGUUAAGUGGCCCAACAAGACUGGAUAGAAGUUUUCGAAGGGUCUAGAGGAGGAAAACUCUCGCAGUUCCCGCUGGGAGGCAGUGAUGCUCGCCAUUAACAUGCUGCUCCCUGCCUGCAGCCCCCCCAGCUCAGCGCCAAGGUGCACAAUGAUCUGGCCUCCAGUUCAGCCACAUCUCCCCUGUGCCCACAAAAGAUUCAGAAACUCAGGCCUGGUUUAGGAGGUGACUGGGGCUGUCAGAUGAGGUGGGGAACAAACUAGACUUGGCCCUAAGUCCAACAGGCAGCAUGAACAAAGCUUAAGUGUCCAUAAGCAUCCUUUGCUCUUGACAGCUCUCAACAAUGACAUUCAAGAACACUGAAUUCCACAAAUCUGUUGUAAACAAUAAAAGAUUUAUAACGUGUGCUGCAUGUGAAAAAGCCAGACUCUACUACAGAACCUACUUAUGAAUUGUGAAUUACCUUAUAUUUAAUCAUGUUAAACUGCAUCUGCCAUUUUGCUGCCAGAUUUCCCACUGUGUUCAUAUCUAUCUGGUAUUCCUCAUCGUUCUCCAGAGCAUUCACUAAUUGAAAUUAUUCUGCUACACUGGCAAACUUUCACUAACCAGCUGUCCAUUGCUUCUUCAAAGUGAUUAAUAAACACAUAGCAAAAAUCUCCUUUCUCUAAUGCCCAGCAAUUCCAAACCUCCUAUCGGGUUCUAAGUUACAUCCCUCUGCUAAACUACUUAACCUUUCUCUCUCUUGCUCUUCAGUCGCUUUUAUCUCUUUAGUCAUGUCAGAUUCCUUUGAAAUAUCUGAUGUUACUGGUUUACCUCCACAUUAAGUAAUAUUCAUCCCAAAACUGGAGUCCCUUUGUAUCAGCCAACCACAAUUUUGAGUAGUUUGGCAGUAGUUCAUUAUUCAUCAUUACUUCGCUUCUUUCCAUUUAACCAGCUUUUUCCAUCUAUGUGAGUACUUUACCUUUCUUCUACCAUAAAUUCAUCUAAGUGAGUUUAUCACACUCCAUUAUCUCCCCUGUCCACAAUUUUUGCAUUGAUACAUAAUCAAAAUGAUGGGAAUUUGUGAUAUUUUUCUUGAAUAGAAAGUGCUAUUUCUGAACAAGGAGGCUUAACAAACUCACUUUGGUGAAUUGGGGAAUUCCCAUUGAUGCAUUUUUGAUCUUUUUAUGUGCUCCUCAGGAAACACAGUAUUUUUCUAUCACCGUGUUAGUAAAGCUCAUGUCAGAUCCUUUGCAUCAACGCAGGCCAAAAGUGAAAUGUUUCGACACAGCAACAGCAAGAUGUGUUGUUAUGAUCAAGGAAAAUCCAGAAAGCACAACCAUUCCAACCUCUUAAUGCAACUCAGAAUGAAAAUAAGCUAUUAAAAUCAUGGAAUUUCAUGGAGAACAAAACAUCAGAUCCAAGACUUAUAAAGUACUCUCCCUCCUAGUGCAAAGAGAAGACGUUUCGCACCCAAGGCCUUGCCCUGCCCCAAAGCGCCUUACUUGUGAUCCAGGGGCUCCGAUGGGUCCUGGUGGCCCUCUGGGUCCUGAUGCACCUGGUGGCCCUGGUGGGAAUCAUCAUUUGAGACAAUUUUAAGGAGAUUCAGAAGGAAAGACCCUAAAUUCCAAACAUCUGUACUUCCUUUCAUUGUUCUGCUUAAUCUCUCAAUAGGUAAGAGCUGUUCAUCGAUCACAGGACUGCAGUAUAAAUGCUUCAUCACAUACUGGAUUACCUGAUACCCACAUCCUGAUAUAAUAUAUCCCUAUGCCCUAGGAAAGAUGCUAGGGCUCUGGGAGGAAAAAAAGGUGAAAAUAAGCAGGAAGGAUGUCAGUAACAUGCUGCAUUUGCUUAAAAUGACUGCUUUGAAAAAGCUCCAGCUAGAUCCAGGAAACAGCUACAUCAGAGUGAGAUUAGUUGCUGUUUCUGAAACAGAGUCUUGCGAUUGGCAAGGGAAGCCCACAGGCCUACGGUCUGCCUUGUGUUGUCAGAAAGCUGACGAUGGACAUGAAGGAGAUGUAGCCAGUGUGAGACUGUGGAAAGCAAAGUCUCGUGUUCUUUGCUCGCUCCAGUAGCAAUAAAUCAUUUUUAAGUCUGUACCACAGAAGCGCCUGCUUCCAGGACAAGUCAAACACUGUCUAAACAGGUCAACUUCUUCUACACAGUCACUUAACAGAUUCGUUCCUUUUGGAAAAACAAUUCUAUCAUAACAGUAGCUGUUAAACUAUACCUGCAAAUGUGAGACAGAAUAUUUGCUUAGUCUGAACUUAGCAAUACUCCUCUCUGCUUUAGUUGUCGCAACCCUUGAGAUGAAACAAUGUGGGCCUUAUACACAAAGUGCAGCUGAAUCAGCCUCAAUCAUUAACACACCACACAAAUACUUAAGUCAAAGAAUAAAGGGAUUGAAGGAUAAAUGAAAGGCCCUCAUAAUGAAAGGAAAGCCUUUUCUGCAACUAAUGGGAGUUCACUUCUAAAUAUGCAUCAUACAGGGAAGUGCUGAUGUUUGCAGGAAUACUAUCAUUUAAACCACCCAUCAGCACAGAGAAAAAGAAGAAUUACCACUGAAUUUUCAUCCCAGAUUCUGAUUUCAGGCAUACUGGUGAAAAUCUGGAAUAGCUCAAAGCAGCUCCGAAGUCUGUAGACACAUCACAGAGCAGGUGGCCAGAUCCUGCUCAGUGGAGCUCCACAGUGACAGCACUCUCCCAAACGACUUCACUGGACAACCCAUUCUUAAAGACAGUUUUUAAUUACACCCUUCUCAAGAUAUGUCCUGCCAAAGGUAAAACGAUCUGCCACUGUCAACAGGUAAGAAACCUGGUUACGUCUUGCCACCCUUCCCACUCCUGGACCCACCUUCCCAUGAGGACCCCCUGCUUUUCCUGCAGGCCUCCCACAGACUCCAGCCUCCAUCAGGAGUUUCUUUUGCUCUUCUUCCCCAUCGUUACAGGUUUGCAGCUCUACUGAGUUUAUUACCUGGUGGCCCAACGGGUCCUGGGGCUCCCCGAGGUCCUGGCAGCCCAGCCAUGAUGGUGUCUAUGACGGUGGAGGCCAGCUGGGGUUCCCCAUCUGUGUGACAGAGCAGAGCAGUCAGUGUCCCUGCAGCAACGGCUUCCCAGUGCCAGGACUUCUCUCCAAAACCCUUCAGUGCCUUUUGCUGGCCAAGGGCACACAGUGCUUCAGGAUGCAAAAUUUCAGAUCUUGGAGCGAUCUCCCUUUGCUCUGUAAGGACACAGGCUGCAUCCCCCAGACCUGCAGAGCUGCUCAUCCCUCCUCUGACAACCUCAGAAAAGUCAGCCUUUCUGUCAAAAAAAUUGCAUUCCUGCACACCUAUAUACUCCUCUCUUCGAAUGUCCAAGCAGUUAAGAGUAGCUCUGUACUGUACAGCAAUAACUGACCCAAAAUUCGCCAUCCCCAAGACACUUUUGCCAUUUAGGAUUAUAUUAGGUGUUCUGGUCAGCUUGGGCAGGUCCAUUAAGUUCUGGGAAACGGAUGGAAAUGGGAGCAGAGCAGGGAGGGAAAAGGCAUCAGGAGGAACUGGAGGAAUUCUGUGCUUUUGCACAUCUUUCUCAGUCCUCUUUUGUUAGGAAUAAAUAUCAGCAGCUUGUAGGCGCCCCCCUCUUCCCUCGAACCAAGAGGCUUACCGCUUUAGCUGGUGACUGACUGGAAAAAACAGAACUAGAUAUAUAAAAGCAAACAUUAUUAUUUUCUGCAAUUCCUAAACCAUAUUCAACAACCCCAUUCCCUAUGGACCUGUACUGUAGCAUACUGGUAGCCUGGGGUGGUACCUGUGUGGCAGCAUCUUUCAUCUGAGCAUCCCACAACACUGUCUGACAGGUGUGGAAACCUAGGGGACAAAGUUCCACAACUGACCAAGACACCAAGGUCAAAAAGCAAGGAAGGGAACCCCCAUGCCCAGAUAUUGCUAAGAUUUGCAAUCUGCUGACCAACAGCAGGACCAACAGCGUAUUUCCUGUUGAAUUUGAACUGGAUAAAGAUGUUGUCUCCUGGUCACUGUGAUGGUAAACCCUCUAUUUUCCAUAGCUGGAGGCCACCAUGCAGGAAUAAUGUCCAUCUCCUCCUGCCCAUGACCUCAAACUUACUCAUGUUUCCUAACUCACCACAGUAAAAUUCAGGAGAACCCUUUGUAGGUGUAAGAGACAGCAAAUGUCUCACUGCUAUAUUGAUGCAAAUAUCAAGGGACACCAGGAAGGUCAGAAGGAUGUUUGCUUACUCUGCAGAGUCCAGCCCAACGGACAUAAAGUGAAAUCUCCAGAAAUGUCAACAGACACAUUAUGAAACCUUCUCAACUUCUGGACUGUUGGCAGUGAUAAAGACGACUUUCAAGGUAGUUAUUUGAAAGCAGUUCCUAGGGAAAACUGUGAAACCUCUUCAACUGCCAAGGAUGACAGUUCAUCUCUGCAAUGCCCUCCUGGCAGCAGAACAGCACAGGAUCUAACACAGAUCCUCAGAGAACCGAAUUUCGUGCCUAAAACCUGAAUGCAAACAGGUUUUUUUUUUGGGUAUUGUUUCUAACUCCAUCCAUCUUCCCUUCUUUACAGCCCUGAAACAAAACUGAGACUGUUUUCGUGUUCAGAAGGAAAGGUACCCAAGUGAAGUGUGUAAUCCAAUUAAUGUGAGUUUUAUUUGACCACGUCAAAAUCCAUUACAGCUUGGGAGCAAGAUGAAAUUGGGAAAUGAGCAUCAAACAGCAGUGAAGGCAUUAACAAUUGCAGAGUCUUUUGUUUUUAAAGAACAAGCGGUCAACAAAAUCAAAUGCACUUCCACUGAGAGGGGGAGAUGAUGUGCUGCAAACAACCAGGAUUUAAUUACUGCUGGAGGUAAGCCAGGGAUAAAGAUCUGGGUUACAAAACAUUCCAGCUAAAUGUUGCAUUAUUAUGAUGACAGAGCUACUCCCACAAAUACACCUAUCCUGACAUUUGAUUCAAAGUUAUUGAUGAAAGGUGGUUCCAUAAUUGUGGCACAGAAGAGAGCUCUGCUCAGCAGCCCUUUGCUCAGCAGCUCGGGUUUGACCCCGCAGCCCCGAGUGUGGACGUGCACAUCUGGAGUGGCUCCUCAGCUGCCUGGCCAGGAAUUCUCUCUAUAUUCCCAUAAAGCAGCAAAAAGAACUGGGAUCUCCUUUUAAACCCCCUUCUCUUUAGCAGCAGGGGGACAUUCAGGGCUCACUGCAGCUGGAGGGUGUUAGAGCAGCCACAAAAUAGCAACAAAUGGUAGCAGGAAUCUCCCCUUCUCAGCCACCUCCUGCACUGAUCCAGGCUUUGCUGGGCUCAAGGGCUGGAUUUUGUUUCAGUGCUUCUGGAUAUACCAAAGAAAGCAGACAACAAUUUGCUUUGGGAGUUUGCCAACUCCCGGCCAAGCCAAGAAGAAGAAUUCAACCAGUCUGACCUGGGCAGAUACGAGCACUUACAUUCUCUGGAAGAGAACACAAAGAUCCUGCAAAGGGGAAACCCGAAACAGGACAGAAAUGCCCUGAACGAGGCAGUGAAACUGGCCAAGCCAGAGUGGCACAGGCACCAACAGCUUUGAACGCAAUCAGUACAGUUUUCUAAAUUAAAUGCUGUUCCCUUCCUCUGCUGUGUUGUCCCCUCCCCAGGAAGCCUACGCGUGGCAGCAGGCACAGGGAGUCACUUCACAAAUCUCUGCUCUCCUCUCUUUUUCACCAGCGAUGUGCUGGGCAGGCAGGCAAGCCCGCUGUGCCUCGGUUUCCCCUCGCUCUCCCUGCAAGAUUGGUUAAUGUUGUCUCGUGUCCUUUGCAAAUUGAAAUCUUUGAGAUGUAAGAAAACACAGCCCUCAACAGAGUGAAAAUUGCGGGUUUUUUUUUCCCUUUUCCCUAAGAAUUGUCUUAGCAGGAGAAAGAGGACCGAGCGGACUCCAGGCCACGUACCUGAUGCGCUCAUUCGGAAGCGGCAGGGAAAGCAAGUGAUGCUGGGAGCUGCAGCCUCAGCAGUGGGGUAUGGCAGUUUAGCUUCUGGCCUCCACCUAAUGUUUCUAAGGGAUAAAUUCCCCCAUUAUAGGCUUGAUUUGUAGAGACAGGAUGGAAAUGAAGUAAUCCUGUCUUAAUUUCUUUCUGCUACCUGAUCUGGUUGGGGACAACUGGGACCAAUUUCUUCACCACGGCACAGUGAAACUGUGAGAAAAUAUUUGUCUCCCCAUUUUUGGCUUCUGCCUGCUGAUAAACAUUGCCAACAGGAACUUGCUGCGAUUAAUGAAGGCACAGGCAUUAACCAUGUUCAGGCGGAACCAAACACUGUACUAUAAUAACCCGAUACAGCUUUCUCACAUCUCUGUGGGUGCAUGUGUCCACUACCAGGAAUAUGCUUCCCUCUGCUGUCAGCAGCUGGAAUCUUGUGUUUAUAGUUUUCAGAUGUGCUCCAUUCAAAAUAAAAUAAAAAAAUAAAUUAAAAUAAAAUCUACCCAGAAUUUACAAGGCUACAUUUUAUUGGUUGUAGAGGAUCAGCUUUCCACCAACCUGUGGGAGGAAAACUCAGCCAACACAUAAGCAAAAUGGCAAGUUUUGUAAGCAAAUGGUCUUGAUAUUACUGUAAUUUUAUCACGACUGCAGAGAUAAGUUACACUUGCAGUGAGACUUGUAUUAAAGAAAAAAUAAACAAGAAAAAUUGUCAUAAA